GGAUAAGGAGAGAUGUGGGAGGGGGAUAAGGAGAGAUGGGGGGAGAUAAGGAGAGAUUGGGAGGGGGAAGGAAAUUGGAGGGGGGGAGAGAAGGAAAUUGGAGGGGAGGGGGGAGAGUGACAUUCAUCACACACAAUGCACCCCUUGCACACAGAAAAACACACAAUGCAUUACACACAGACACACAUACACAAGCAAUGCAACCGUUACACACAAUGCAUUCAUUACACAC